rnacentral:rRNA from 1 species
CCUACGGGUGGCAGCAGUGGGGAAUAUUGCGCAAUGGGCGAAAGCCUGACGCAGCGACGCCGCGUGAGGGAUGAAGGUCUUCGGAUCGUAAACCUCUGUCAGCAGGGAAGAACGGUCACUGUGCUAAUCAGCCGUGAAUUGACGGUACCUGCAAAGGAAGCACCGGCUAACUCCGUGCCAGCAGCCGCGGUAAUACGGAGGGUGCGAGCGUUAACCGGAAUUACUGGGCGUAAAGCGCUCGUAGGCGGUAUGUCAAGUCAAGGGUGAAAUCCCCGGGCUCAACGUGGGAACUGCCUUUGAAACUGGGAGACUGGAGUGUGUGAGAGGAGAGUGGAAUUCCAGGUGUAGGAGUGAAAUCCGUAGAUAUAUGGAGGAACAUCAGUGGCGAAGGCGACUAGCUGGCACGUAACUGACGCUGAGGAGCGAAAGCGUGGGUAGCAAACAGGAUUAGAUACCCCAGUAGUC